ACGGAGGGUGCAAGCGUUAUCCGGAAUCAUUGGGUUUAAAGGGUCCGUAGGCGGGCUAAUAAGUCAGUGGUGAAAUGCAGGGGCUCAACUCCGGCACUGCCAUUGAUACUGUUAGUCUUGAAUUAUUGUGAAGUGGCUAGAAUAUGUAGUGUAGCGGUGAAAUGCUUAGAUAUUACAUAGAAUACCGAUUGCGAAGGCAGGUCACUAACAAUACAUUGACGCUGAGGGACGAAAGCGUGGGUAGCGAACAGG
rnacentral:rRNA from 1 species